rnacentral:piRNA from 1 species
UGAGAGAAUAAUGAAACCAAAAGGAGACUC